rnacentral:rRNA from 1 species
AUACGUAGGGAGCGAGCGUUGUCCGGAAUUAUUGGGCGUAAAGGGCUUGUAGGUGGCUUGUCGCGUCUGCCGUGAAAGGCUUCAGCUUAACUGGAGUAGUGCGGUGGGUACGGGCUGGCUUGAGUGUGGUAGGGGAGACUGGAAUUCCUGGUGUAGCGGUGGAAUGCGCAGAUAUCAGGAGGAACACCGGUGGCGAAGGCGGGUCUCUGGGCCAUUACUGACACUGAGGAGCGAAAGCGUGGGGAGC